rnacentral:rRNA from 1 species
AUACGGAGGGCGCAAGCGUUGUUCGGAAUUACUGGGCGUAAAGCGCGUGUAGGCGGUUCGGCAAGUCGGAUGUGAAAUCCCGGGGCCCAACCCCGGAACUGCAUUCGAUACUGCCGAGCUAGAGUCCCGGAGAGGGUGGCGGAAUUCCCAGUGUAGAGGUGAAAUUCGUAGAUACUGGGAGGAACACCGGUGGCGAAGGCGGCCACCUGGACGGUGACUGACGCUGAGACGCGAAAGCGUGGGGAGCAAACAGGAUUAGAAACCCCAGUAGUCC